UAUGUAGGUGGCAAGCGUUGUCCGGAUUUAUGGGGUUUAAAGGGUGCGUAGGCGGUCUAUUAAGUCAGCGGUGAAAUACUCCAGCUUAACUGGAGGGGUGCCAUUGAUACUGAUGGACUUGAGUCAAGUCGAGGUAGGCGGAAUUGACGGUGUAGCGGUGAAAUGCUUAGAUAUCGUCAAGAACACCAAUAGUGAAGACAGCUUACUGGGCUUAAACUGACGCUGAGGCACGAAAGUGUGGGGAUCAAACAGG
rnacentral:rRNA from 1 species